GUGAGAGUUUCAGAAAUAUGGUAUUCCAUACAUAGUAAAAAUUGGGUUGCAACAUGCUAUAAAAGAGAAUAAUAUGUUUGGUGACUUUUUACUUCAAACUAGACUUUUAAAAUAAUUUGUAUUGCUGUUAUCAGGGGAACUGUAAGUUGCUAAUGGAAAACAAACUGCCAAAGAAAUGCAGGAGAAGAAGCUAAUCCUCAUUGCAAGGGAGUCUGAGAAGGAACAGGAGCUGGACGGUUGUUUAUUACUCUGUGCUGCAUUUUCAUACAAUGUAAGAGUCCACU